rnacentral:rRNA from 1 species
UACGUAGGGGGCAAGCGUUGUCCGGAAUCAUUGGGCGUAAAGGGCGCGUAGGCGGAUUUUUAAGUCUGGUGUGAAAACCUAGGGCUCAACCCUGGGACUGCAUCGGAAACUGGAGAUCUUGAGGACAGGAGAGGAAAGUGGAAUUCCACGUGUAGCGGUGAAAUGCGUAGAUAUGUGGAGGAACACCAGUGGCGAAGGCGACUUUCUGGACUGUAACUGACGCUGAGGCGCGAAAGCGUGGGGAGCAAACAGGAUUAGAUACCCUGGUAGUCCACGCCGUAAACGAUGAGUGCUAGGUGUAGAGGGUAUCGACCCCUUCUGUGCCGCAGUUAACACAAUAAGCACUCCGCCUGGGGAGUACGGCCGCAAGGUUGAA